GCUGCCGCUGAGCAGACAUUUCUAUCUAAUCAGCUCGUGUAAUAAAGCAAUUUGCCUAAUGGUUGAGUAAAUUAAAUGUUUGGGUUUGGUUUCCAUGGCAACCAGCUGUCCGUAAUUAGUUAAUCAAGACAGGCAAGGUUUGAGGCUCAGAGUGGCUACAUAUGUCAAGAGGUUGUAAGGUACUUGAAUCAUUUGGUCAUCAGAUAGUUUGUGUCCAUACCACAGAAACAAUGCAUCGAGCUCUGCCCAUAUAUCUAAGAUCAUGUAUUUCUAUUGAAUUUCUUUCUCUUGCAGUGUCUUUUUGAUUAGCUCCGUCUUUGCUGGAGGUUCCUGGUGUGCCAACACGGCAAGAGCCCGAGCAGCUGCCCUGGGUUUGGACCUCCCUAGGACCCAGUUUGUCCCUUACCAUCUUCGACCAACACGCCAUAGAAGUUUUGAUCCCAUAAAAACCCACUAUGAAAAUAAUUAUGGCCCCAAAGAGGUUGAGUUUGAGCCUAUCCUUCCGCACAACGUUGAAAUCCAAGGGGAUGGAUAUCCAAAUGACUGGGCCUAUGGACAAAUCUUCCCCAGAGGCUUUCAACCCAAACCGUCUACACUGAACCAUCACGGUUCUGAUCUCAGUUUGGCUGACUCCUCUGUCUACACUCCCAAGGGACAAUUUGUUAGCAGCCACAAGCCCAACUUUGAGCAGGUCAAGAAUUCUGUGCCUCGACCAAAUGCAAUGGUAGCCCCUAGUCAGUUUGAGUACUCAGAGAAAGUGGACAAUCGAGGCUACUAUAAGUCUGUUGUAGUUCAGCCUGUCGCCAGCAGACGUAGAACAGCCCAGAGUGUGGUUUCACGACACCAGAGCAGAGGUGCUGUACCCUAUGGAAAAAGUAUCCUGUGGUCUUGGCCACAGACUUUUCCUCUAAAUCCGCUCCACCAUCCCAGAGUGGACUCAUCAGCCCCCGAGGUAAGACAAUUCUGAUCCCAGGGCAUGGUGCUGUCCAUUCUGUGAUCAAAGAGCUGAAAUAUGAAGCAGUUUGAUUAAGUGUCAGAAAAAACAGGGAUCCGGUUGGUUAAGAUCCUAACGGACAAACUUUCCUUUGCAAACUACCUUUGUCUGAGGAGCCAACCAUACCAUUGGUGAGCAAAUCGGUGACCUUAUGCACUUUUUAAGGGCAAAACAUGUAAGUUGUGUUUGUAAUCCAGUACAUUUACUUAUCCAUGACAUCACUGUUCUGAAUUACUAUUUGGUUAUGUGUUUAUCCUUCAAAUAAAAUGUCCAUGUUUUGAGAUGGGUUUUUUUUAUUACUCGGAAAAAUUAAACUGCUAGACCAAGUAAAUACUAACAAUUUGCUACGUUUAUAGAAUUUUGGUUUAAGAAAAAUUAUCUAGCAGUAAGUGAUGCACCAGAAGUGUAGUUUUUAAAAUAUACACUUUGAACAGAAACAGAUGUCCUUUUGAAAAAUUGUUCAGUUUGCUUGUGACCUUCAGCUUUUGAUCACCAUAAGUGAUUGUGUCCCUGUAAACCAAUAGAAACUCAACCAGGGUCAUAUCCAAUCUAAAUACCUACUCCAAAGAUGGUGGAUAAAUUAAAUUGGUUCACUCAAGCUGUUUAAAAAUAUUCCUCUAAGUGGGUGUUCCCUCUCUUGUGUGAGCAUGCUUUCCUAUGUGAGCUUACAGUUUCUCCAUAUCAGAGCCCCACAGUGGAGGUGGCAUAAUACCCAUGUAUAUCUCUGUUGGACAAGGUGACUUUUAUCAAUCUAUUCGGCUCUAUUUAAUUAUUUGAUCAUGCUAAUUAGCAUCAAAGUAGACAUCAUGCAAAACUACAAGCUCCUGCACGUCAUCUCUAGCUGACUUCUUUGCUAACAGCUAUUGUUUCAAUUUAAAACUUGCACAAUACAGUUCAUAGAAUUGUCAAUUUUUAAAGAAAUGUAGCCAAUUUAUUCAUUACUACAUUUAGAUACAAUGGUGUAAAAAUACUAUAAAGUACUACUUAAGUUGUGUUUUGGGGAAUCUGUACUUUAUUUUUGACAACUUAUUUUAUUACAUUCCUGAACAAAAUAAUGUACUUUUUACUCCAUACAUUUUCCCUGACAUCCAAAAGUACUCAGAUUUUGAAUGCUUAGCAGGGCUGGAAAAAAGGUCCAAUUCAUGCACUUUUUCCUCUAAUCUGGUCGACUCAACUAUACACAUGCUUCAUUUGUAAAUUGUGUUGAAGUGUGUUAGAGUGCCCCUGGCUAUCCA
ensembl:lncRNA